UAGGGAAUAUUGGACAAUGGGCGCAAGCCUGAUCCAGCCAUGCCGCGUGAAUGAAGAAGGCGCUCUGCGUCGUAAAGUUCUUUUGGGAGGGAAUAAAGGCUUUGAUUUAUCGAAGUUUGAAGGUACCUUCAGAAUAAGCACCGGCUAACUCUGUGCCAGCAGCCGCGGUAAUACAGAGGGUGCAAGCGUUAUCCGGAAUUACUGGGUUUAAAGGGUGCGUAGGCGGUUUGUUAAGUCAGUGGUGAAAUUUCAGCGCUUAACGCUGGCAUUGCCAUUGAUACUGGCGAACUUGAGACACAGUGAGGUUGGCGGAAUGGGACAUGUAGCGGUGAAAUGCAUAGAUAUGUUUCAGAACACCGAUUGCGAAGGCAGCUGACUGGCUGUUGUUUGACGCUGAGGCACGAAAGCGUGGGGAUCAAACA
rnacentral:rRNA from 1 species